rnacentral:rRNA from 1 species
UUUAAAUUUUUAAAUUUUUUUUGGGUAUUWUUUGUGAAWGAAACCUAAAAAGCUUGACGGUUCUUUAUGUCCUUCUAGGGGRGCUUGKCCUAUUAUUGAUAAUCCUCGUUUUAUCUUACUUUUUUUAUUAUGUUUGUAUACUUCUGUUGUCAGUUGACUUUUUAGAAAUUAAUAGUUUGCUUUAUAGUUUUUGCUAUGACAUCAAGUCAAAGUGCAGUUUAUAAAUAAGUUGAGAUUAGCUACUUUUUUUAUUUUUUUGGAUAAUUGUUGAAAUAUUUAUUUGAAAUUGGACUUAGUAGUAAAGUUUUUUAGAUAGGUUUUUUGAAUUAGGUUUUAAGU